rnacentral:lncRNA from 1 species
CGAGACACGUGCAGUUAAACUUAUCAAUUUCAAAUAUGUCAAUAUGAUACAAUUGAAAAUUUUAAAAUUUGAUUUGUUUCACAUGAAUACAUUAUUAUUUUCAAUUAUAUUUUUUAAAAAAUAUUUUGUGCAUUACGUGGGUACCUAUGUGAAAACAUAAAUCAAAACUUAUUAUUGUGUUAAGUUUCGACGAAAUGAUCUUGUUGACACUUGUACUUGUCCUAAAGUGGAUACUCCUACUUAAUCCUUUGUCAUUUGAACCCCCUUCAAUCCAUUAAAAUACAUAUUUUAAAACACUUUUCUCAUUUAAUUAAUGUGUGCGUAAUUCAAACGAGUACACAUAGAUUUCACGUCAUUUUGCAAUGACAGAUAGAAAAUUAUUUUUUAAAAAAAAAUAAAAAAAAUAAGCUUCCCUCCCCCCCCUCCCCUCCCCCCCCCCCCCCCCCCCUCCUCCUUUUUUUUCAAUGACAUCUCUUCUUCUCUCCUCUCACCUCCAUUUUUGAAUACCACCAUACCGUUGGAACACCACUAAAAGACACCUAAGACUUGCAAUUAGUAUCAUUUCAAUUUUUAAAUCAUUGCAAUUAGUAUCACAACAAGAGAGCAUCAAUGAUGCAAAUCCAACCCAAAAGGAAUCGCAGAAAAAUUCCUCUCACAGUUCUCAAAAAAUUGGACAAAAAAAAUCGUGCAUAACGCUCAACACACUGCCGCAACAAAUUCGAAGACAACAAGCACUGCCGCAACAAAUUCGUAGACAACAACCCACAAAUCCGAUCUUCUUGUGAGCAAAUUUGUCAUGAUUUGAAUGAAGACAUUUGUAGAGGAGCUCAAGGCGCCCAGACCAUUUUGUUUGUGGCUCCAAGAAAAAUCCGCAACAUCGUCGAAAAAAACUCAAAACUCUAGUGACCCAAAUUUUUUUUGGUGAAUUUUAAAAUUAUCAAUGUCAUUGAAACUUUGGGAAGGUAAGGAGUGAAUUGAAUGCAAAAUUCUCAAUUAAGGAGUGAAUUGAAUGGGGAAAAUGGAGGAGUAGGUGUUUGAUGGUGGACUGGUGGUGGUGAAAAUGAAGGGGAAAAACGGAGGGGUGGGAUAGGUUAGGUGGGGUGGGUAAGAGGAAGAAGAGUUAUUUAUUUAUUUAUUAUUUUUUAAAAAUUUA